AGGUGUUCCACAAUAGAAACUCGAAAUACGGGAUACGAAAAACAGUUUAAUCUCGAAAGUUACAGACACCACGUGAUUUUUAUGCGAGAGCAGUAUGUACGUGUACAAAAACCGUUGGAACCUUGUCGCUGCGUCACAC